rnacentral:rRNA from 1 species
CUUCCGGAGCUAACGCGUUAAGUAGACCGCCUGGGGAGUACGGCCGCAAGGUUAAAACUCAAAUGAAUUGACGGGGGCCCGCACAAGCGGUGGAGCAUGUGGUUUAAUUCGAUGCAACGCGAAGAACCUUACCUGGUCUUGACAUCCACAGAACUUUCCAGAGAUGGAYUGGUGCCUUCGGGAACUGUGAGACAGGUGCUGCAUGGCUGUCGUCAGCUCGUGUUGUGAAAUGUUGGGUUAAGUCCCGCAACGAGCGCAACCCUUAUCCUUUGUUGCCAGCGGUYMGGCCGGGAACUCAAAGGAGACUGCCAGUGAUAAACUGGAGGAAGGUGGGGAUGACGUCAAGUCAUCAUGGCCCUUACGACCAGGGCUACACACGUGCUACAAUGGCGCAUACAAAGAGAAGCGACCUCGCGAGAGCAAGCGGACCUCAUAAA